rnacentral:rRNA from 1 species
UACGGAGGGUGCGAGCGUUGUCCGGAAUCACUGGGCGUAAAGGGCGCGUAGGCGGCCUGAUAAGUAGGGGGUGAAAUCCUGCGGCUUAACCGCAGGGCUGCCUUCUAAACUGUCAGGCUCGAGCACAGUAGAGGCAGGUGGAAUUCCCGGUGUAGCGGUGGAAUGCGUAGAGAUCGGGAAGAACAUCAGUGGCGAAGGCGGUUACCUGGAGCUUUGCUGACGCUGAUGCGCGAAAGCGUGGGGAGCGAGUCCGG